UCGUUUACGGCGUGGCUCCAGGGAUCUAAUCCUGUUUGCUCCCACGCUUUCGCACCUCAGUGUCAGUAUCAGUCCAGGUGGUCGCCUUCGCCACUGGUGUUCCUUCCUAUAUCUACGCAUUUCACCGCUACACAGGDAAUUCCACCACCCUCUACCAUACUCUAGCUCGACAGUUUUGAAUGCAGUUCCCAGGUUGAGCCCGGGGAUUUCACAUCCAACUUAACGAACCACCUACGBGCGCUUUACGCCCAGUAAUUCCGAUUAACGCUUGCACCCUCUGUAUUACCGCGGCUGCUGGCACAGAGUUAGCCGGUGCUUAUUCUGUCGGUAACGUCAAAACACUAACGUAUUAGGUUAAUGCCCUUCCUCCCAACUUUAAGUGCUUUACAAUCCGWAGACCUUCUUCACACACGCGGCAUGGCUGGAUCAGGCUUUCGCCCAUUGUCCAAUAUUCCCCACUGCUGCCUCCCGURGGGUCUGGACCGUGUCUCAGUUCCAGUGUGACUGAUCAUCCUCUCAGACCAGUUACGGAUCGUCGCCUUGGUG
rnacentral:rRNA from 1 species